rnacentral:lncRNA from 1 species
GCUUGGUUCAUCUGACCUUGACCGUUAUUUACAUGGUUCAUUUGUCAGUGUUUAGUUUCUUGGUUAAUUUUGUUUCUUUGAAAUUAUAAGCAAUGGAUCAACUAUAUUUGGUGUAUUUUAUGAUUGUAAGGUGUACAUGUAUUUCUCGUUUGGUUUAUCUGACCUCGGCCUCAUUUUCUUUGAUCAUGAUUUAAUAGUGUAUGUGUUACUUGUAGUAAAGCUUUAUAAUUAGGACUAUCAACAUAAAAUCAA